rnacentral:rRNA from 1 species
ACUAAAUAGAUACCCAGGUAGUCCUAGCCGUAAACGAUGAACACUAGAUGUUGGUGGUAUCAAACCCCGCCAGUGUCGUAGCUAAACGCAUUAAGUGUUCCGCCUGGGGAGUACGGCCGCAAGGCUAAAACUCAAAGGAAUUGACGGGGGCCCGGCACAAGCAGCGGAGCGUGGGGUUUAAUUCGAUGCAACGCGAAGAACCUUACCAGGGCUUGACAUGACCAGGGAUCCGGCGGAAACGUCGGCGCCCGCAAGGGGCCUGGCCACAGGUGUUGCAUGGCUGUCGUCAGCUCGUGUCGUGAGAUGUUGGGUUAAAGUCCCGCAACGAGCGCAACCCCGUACUGUGUGUCUGUAUCACUCACACGGGACUGCCGAGAGAAACCUCGGAGGAAGGUUGGGGAUGACGUCAAGUCAGCAUGGCCC